AGCGAACGCUGGCGGCAGGCUUAACACAUGCAAGUCGAGCGGGCCCUUCGGGGUCAGCGGCCGACGGGUGAGGAACACGUGGGAACGUACCCUUUGGUUCGGAACAACGCAGGGAAACUAGCGCUAAUACCGGAUACGCCCCUUUGGGGGCAGGCUUGCUGCCGAAGGAUCGGCCCGCGUCUGAUUCGCUAGUCGGUGGGGUAAUGGCCUACCAAGGCGACGAUCAGUAGCUGGUCUGAGAGGAUGAUCAGCCACACUGGGACUGAGACACGGCCCAGACUCCUACGGGAGGCAGCAGUGGGGAAUAUUGGACAAUGGGCGCAAGCCUGAUCCAGCCCGGCCGCGUGAGUGAUGAAGGCCUUAGGGUUGUAAAGCUCUUUUGUCCGGGACGAUAAUGACGGUACCGGAAGAAUAAGCCCCGGCUAACUUCGUG
rnacentral:rRNA from 1 species